AUUGAACGCUGGCGGCAUGCCUUACACAUGCAAGUCGAACGGCAGCGGACCUUCGGGUGCCGGCGAGUGGCGAACGGGUGAGUAAUAUAUCGGAACGUACCUUUCAGUGGGGAUAACGUAGCGAAAGUUACGCUAAUACCGCAUAUUCUGUGAGCAGGAAAGCAGGGGAUCGCAAGACCUUGCGCUGAUUGAGCGGCCGAUAUCAGAUUAGCUAGUUGGUGAGGUAAAGGCUCACCAAGGCGACGAUCUGUAGCGGGUCUGAGAGGAUGAUCCGCCACACUGGAACUGAGACACGGUCCAGACUCCUACGGGAGGCAGCAGUGGGGAAUUUUGGACAAUGGGCGCAAGCCUGAUCCAGCCAUGCCGCGUGAGUGAAGAAGGCCUUCGGGUUGUAAAGCUCUUUCGGCCGGGAAGAAAUCGCACGGGUUAAUACCCUGUGUGGAUGACGGUACCGGAAUAAGAAGCAUCGGCUAACUACGUG
rnacentral:rRNA from 1 species